rnacentral:rRNA from 1 species
AACGAACGCUGGCGGCAUGCCUAACACAUGCAAGUCGAACGAGACCUUCGGGUCUAGUGGCGCACGGGUGCGUAACGCGUGGGAACCUGCCCUUAGGUUCGGAAUAACUCCCCGAAAGGGGUGCUAAUACCGGAUAAUGUCUUCGGACCAAAGAUUUAUCGCCUUUGGAUGGGCCCGCGUUGGAUUAGCUAGUUGGUAGGGUAAAAGCCUACCAAGGCGACGAUCCAUAGCUGGGCUGAGAGGAUGAGCAGCCACACUGGGACUGAGACACGGCCCAGACUCCUACGGGAGGCAGCAGUGGGGAAUAUUGGACAAUGGGCGAAAGCCUGAUCCAGCAAUGCCGCGUGAGUGAUGAAGGCCUUAGGGUUGUAAAGCUCUUUUACCCGGGAUGAUAAUGACAGUACCGGGAGAAUAAGCUCCGGCUAACUCCGUG